CCGCCCUGCCCCGGCCGCGCGCGCGGAACUAGGAGGCCCGCAGGAGAUCUCUUCCAGGGCGCAGGGCUGAGAUUGACCCACUCAGGGCCCAGUGGCUGGCCACAGAGCUGGAGGUAGAGAUGAUGGCCGACAUGUACAACAGAACGACCAGUGCCUGCCACCGGAAGUGCGUGCCUCCCCAUUACAAGGAAGCAGAGCUGUCCAAGGGCGAGUCCGUGUGCCUGCACCGCUGUGUCUCCAAGUACCUGGACAUCCGUGAGCGGAUGGGCAAGAAGUUGACAGGGUUGUCUGUGCGGGAUGAGGAGCUGAUGAAGAGGGUGCAGCAGGGUUCGGGGCCUGUGUGAGGCGCCCGACAGCACACCCUAAGAUGCACCCCAUCCCUUCCCACUUGUCUAAUAAGAGCGCCCCCCUGUUGGGUGUCGUCUGUGAAGACUGCCAGGCCUGGGCUCCUUCCCGAGAGUCUCCAGAAGCCUGGAGUAUGAUGGAGCCCUUUCCCGGGCGGAGAAGGGUAUCUGUCACAAUGGCCUGUGACUAUGUGUGUGAGUGUAUAUAUAUACUAUAUAUUAAAACAAGUUUGUUGACA